UUGUUAUUUCUUUUUUUUUUUUUUUUUUUUGGUCUUUUUACCUUUUCUAGGGCUGUUCCUGCUGCAAUAUGGAGGUUCCCAGGCUAGGGGUCUAAUUGGAGCCGUAGCCACCAGCCUACGCCAGAGCCACGGCAACGCAGGAUGUGAGCUGCGUCUGCGACCUACACCACGGGUCACAGCAAUGCCGGAUCGUUAACCCACUGAGCAAGGGCAGGGACCGAAUCCGCAACCUCAUGGUUCCUAGUCGGAUUCAUUAACCACUGCGCCACGACGGGAACUCCUCAUAGAGAUUUUGAUUUGCAUUUUCCUACCAGUUAGUGAUGUUGAUCUUUUCAUGUGCCUGUUGGCCAUCAGUUUCUCUUUUUUGGGAAAAUACCAAUUCAGAUUCUCUGUCCAUUUUUUAUUAGUUUUGGUUUUUGUUGUUAUUCUUCUUGUUUUUACUGAAAUGUAUUUCUUCAAUGGUUUUAAGUUACUUUCUACUCUCGUUUCAGCUGGAAGGACUUUCUCUUAGCAUUUCUUGUUUGACAUAGCUGCUACUGAUGAAUUCUCUUAGCUUUUGUUUAAUCGGGAAUGACUUAAUUUUCCUCUCAUUUUUUAAAGAAAGUUUUAAUGGAUAUAAAAUUCUCCUUGAUUUUUUUUUCCCCUUGGACUUUAAAUAUUUCCAUGAUUCUGUCUUUCAGCAGUUUUAGUGUAGAUGUCUAUUAGUUUAUCCUAUUUGGUGGGUAUUUGGCAUCUUUGAUGUAUGGAUUCAUGUCUUUCAUUUAAUUUAGGACGUUUUCAUCUAUUAUUUCUUCAGAUAUUAUUUCUGCCCAUUUCUAGUCCCCCCCAGAACUCCCAUAAUGCUUAUUAUAAAUGGUAUGUCUGAUGGUAUUCUGCAGAUACCCUAGGCUUUGUUCAAUUUCCAUCAUUUUCUUUUUUUCUCUAUCCUUCAGACAGGUUAAUUUCAAUUUCUCUAUCUUUCGGUUUGCUUAUUUUUUCUCCUCUUUGUUCAUAUCUGCUGCUGAACCCCUCUAGUGAAAUUUUCAUUUCAUUUAUUGUGUUUUUCAGUAUCAGGAUUUCUAUAUGUUUAUUUUUUAUAAUUUCUUUCUCUGUAUUGACACCCUCUUUUUGUUGAUUAAUUGCAUUCCUGAUUUUCUAUAGUUUCCUUUAGUUUGUUGAGCACAUUUAAGAUGGUUGGCUUAAAGAAUUUUUUUUUUUUGCUUUUUAGGGCCAUACCUGCAACAUAUGGUAGUUCCCAGGCUAGGGGUCUAAUCAGAGUUAUACCUGCCAGCCUAUGCCACAGGCACAGCAACACCAGAUCCUUAACCCACUGAGCAACCUCAUAGUUCCUAGUUGGAUUCGUUUCCACUGUACCACAAUGGGAACUCCAAUUUAAAGUAUUUCUAGUAAGUGCAGUGUCUGGCCUUCCUCAGGGAUGGUUACUGCCAUUUUAUUUUUUUCUGUAAAUGGACCAUAUUUCCCUAUUUCUUUGUAUUCUUUGUAAUUUUUUCGUUGUUGAAAACAAUAUAUUUUGAGUAUUGUGUUAUUUUAACUGUACAUCAAAUUUGCUCCUUCCUUAGGGUUUAUUGUUUCUGAUUGUUGAGGCCUGCAGUAGUAGUUCAGUUUGUUCAGUGACUUUUCCAAAUUAUUUUUACAAAGAUUGUGUUCCUUGUGUGUGGUCACUGAAGUUUCUGUUCCAUUAUCCUAAGAGUUAACCUUAUCCAUCUGAAGCCUAAAAAAGGGUGGGGGAGAAAUGUGCCAUUCUUCUGGCAUUUUCAGCUUUUCUCUGAGCUGGGGCACUUAAGCAAUGAGCCAGGCUACCUACUCUAACUUCACCUUCACCCUCUGAUUGUGCCACAUCCACAGAUCUACAAGGCUAAAGUCUUAGUUCUUUUCUGAGUAUGCAACUGGUUCUGGCAUGCUGUGUGUGUGUGUGUGUGUGUGUGUGUGUGUGUGUGUGCACGCGCGCGCAUGCUUUUUUAGGGCCGCACCCACUGCAUAUGAAUGUUCCCAGACUAGGGGUUGAAUUGGAGCUGCUGCUGCAAGCCUAUACAUAAACCACAGCAAUGCCAGAUCCGAGCCUCAUCUGCAACCUACGCCAUAGCUCAUGGCAAUGCCAGAUCCUUAACCCACUGAACAAGGUCAGGGAUUGAACCUGCAUCCUCAUGGAUACUAGUUGGGUUCUUAACACACUGAGCCACAACAGGAACUCCAUCUGGCAUGCAUUUUCACUCAGAUUUCCCUGAUAUGUGUGGUGGCUCUUCAAAACCUUUAUUCCCUCAAGGAACUUCCACCUCAGUCUCUUCCUUUUCAGUCUUUUGAGUGUGUCCGCUGCUUGCCCUCUUCUCUGUCCUUUACCUGCUAGUAUAUAUCUUUAUUCUUUAGGCAGAUGCCUUUAAAGCCACUCUAACUGGAGUCGGGAAGUGAAAUAAAGAUCAGCUUUUGCACCAGUCUUUUAGAGAGUUUCCAGAUAUAUUAAAAAAAGCAACUACAGUGUAUUAAGAAAAGUGUCCAUAUUAGCUUCUUGCCUGUUAGUAAGCUGCAUGAGGAACAGAAGUUUCCAUCUUCACAACUAUUGCUGCUUCCCUUGGGAAUGGGGAACAGUAGACAGGCAAAGGAAAAUGCCACAGUGUUUUCUUACUGAAGUUCAGCCACUUUUUUCUUUUUUAAGCAUUUCCCUGGUUGUUUUGAGUUUUUAAUUCCAGAGUUCACUCUGACAGUUUUUGCCAGCUCGUGAUUGUUUCAGUGAAGGGACCAAUUGUUUAACUGCCCUACUCCAUUAUUUUCUGUGAUGUUACUUCUGAGUUGUAAAUUUUCAUAUUGACUUAAGUGGGUUUUUUUUGGCAGGUAUAUUUGAUAAUUGAUUUAUACUAUGUUGCCUCCCCAUUAGUUAUCGCUGGAACUUUAUUUUUAGAUUUCUGAAUUACUAAACUUAAACAUGAAAAAAAAAAAA
rnacentral:lncRNA from 1 species